UUUCCUUUCCUUUCCUUUUCUUUUCUUUUCUUUUCUUUUCUUUUCUUUUCUUUUCUUUUUUUUCCAGAUAGAAUUUCUCUGUGCAUCCCUGGCUGUCCUGAAAUUUGCCCUGUAGACCAAACUAGCCUUGAAUUUACAGAAGUCUGCCUGCCUCUGUCUCUGCCUCCUGAGUCCUAGGAUUAAAGGUGUGCACCCCACCAACCAGCUUGCUUUCUGUUUUCUUACUUGAAAACAAACAAACAAACAAACAAACAAACAAAAUAAACUUUGCGUCUCUAGUUUCCAGAGCCAAGAGCCCACUCAUUCAGGCAUUCAGGUUGUCUUCUUCUGUAGGGCCCAAUGUAUACUCCACUCUUCCAUGAAGCCCCAGGGCGAGAUGCCUGUAGGUUGGCUGCCAAACCUCAUCUUUCUGGAGAGGAAACUGAGGCCCCCAGAGGAUUAUCCCUAGCUGGAAAGUGGUAGCAAGAUUUUCUAACCCUCAGAAAGAUAUCUUUGUUUUCUACCUGGAUGAAGAGGGAUACUGUCCUGGAGAAAAAGAGACCCCAGGAAGGUAAGAGAUAUAUCCCCUGUUCACUUGGUUCUAUUGUGUCCUUGCAAUCAGAACAACACAAUUAAGGACUUAAUUAUAAGCUGGUCUGCACUGUUGUUUAGUCAGUUCCAAACUAGACUGUCAGCUCCUUGAGGGCAGGGAAAAAUCCUGUGGGCUCUGGGACUGUUUUCUCUUAGCACAAGGCUGGGCACAUGGAAGAUACCCUACUGGUAUGAUCAGAACCUUUAGCAGCAGAGAAAACUACAGGAGCCUUACUCUGCAAGGUACACGUGUGAGUGUGUAAGGAGUGAUGAUUCUGGAGAAGAUCCAAAGUGGUUAACAAUGGUUCCAGGACCCAUAGUUCUGCAGUUUUCAUGCCUUGCUGUCUGUCCUAGGAGAGGGGGCAGCCUUGGUUGAGUACGUGAGCCAGUCAGUGUGCUUCAUGGCUGUGAGGCUGUGGCCAUAGAUCAGGAACCCUGUCUCAGGAGAAAGGCACUGUCUUGGGCAUAUGUUGCCCCCUUCCUCUCUUGCCCUGGUUGCUGUUCUUCCUGGCAUCCCCCAAUGCUCUCUUUCACUUCUAUCCUGUCAUAAGAAAGCUAGCUUCUUAGCAUGAGCCCAUUCAGAGCACUUCCCUCCUGAAGGCACUGAUGUUAGGAUCUAGGUCUGAGCUAGAGUGCUGAGCUACAAGGAUCUCGUAGGAUGGCUAGGAACUACAUAGAAGGCUUCAGUUCCCAGUACCCGGCAGCUACCGAGCCUGGGCAGCUUCCUGUCAUUUUGGUACCCAGGAAGCUAGGGAAACAGAAGACUGGUUUUGAUCUAGUCGAGGUGCAUCCUUUUUCCCUUUCUUCACACUUGAUAUCCAGAUUUAAAAGUGUGUCCUUGGCAGAGCUAUUUAGACAGAUUUGUACGUUGGCAAGUUGCUGAAGGCACCUGGGAGGGAUCAUGGGUGGAAAUGUGGCACUGUCUUAGCUCCAGGGGCUGAGUCUUUUGUGACUGAUGUAUCCCUACCCCCACCCUCACCUUCACUUGGCGCACAUCUAAAGGACACCGCGGGCAUGCCAGUCCUUUUCUGGGCUUCAGCUCCUUACCUCUGGAGCCUCAGGCACAGGGGAUGUGACAAUACCUGUGCUGGCUUCCCAAUGGGUGGAAGUUAGUUGGGGGUCACUGGGGGAGAGGAAAUGGCUGCUCCUAUCUGUCUUGCCACUCACCUUUGCACAGCCUGGGGCGUGUGUGUUUAUGCACCCUUACAUUGACACCUGUGACUUCUGCGGGACCUUCCCUUUCCAAACCUGGGAGGUGACAGAGUGCAUGGGGAUUCAAAGAGAAAUCUAAGGCUCAUCCAGUGAGCUGGGAGUCAGUCUCAUCUGGCACCCCAGCCCUGCUGGAAUGAUGACUGAGGCCAAACAGGCUAGGUUAGCCAUGGGAAGGCUGUGGAAAAUGUGUCCUCUCCAGUGUCUGAGGAGGAGUGCUCAGAGAAGCUGGGGGAGGGGCGUGGCUGGGGACAUCUUUUGCCCCAUCACUGAGAUGGCAAGGCCGACCGAGCAAUUAACCACCAAUGAAGACAGACCAGCAGGGUGGCAUUCCAGGGUACUCUUGCCCAGAUUGGCCUCAAUUAAAGGGCACAAUUACUUGCUGAGGUGUUGUAGGGUAGUUGCCUGUACAUGCCAUGCAAAGUUUUGGGGGGUGCUCCUUGGCUGAUGUGUUUACUUCUGGGAGACCACAUCUGAAGCCAAAAUCUCCUUUAGAACACUCAUCCCAGCCACUCACAAGAAAUUCUGCCCUCUGGCCCCAGCCUCCAAAGGCUCAUGGAUGGGAGUCAAAGUUCUGAUUUUUCCGGCUAAGACACACAACUUUGGUCCUGCCCCACAAUCUCCCCUAGCUUCAGUGAAAAGGUCUGGAAGGUCUCACCUAAGUCUGCCUUUUCUUCCACUGAGAGAGAAAUGUCUCUGUCUCCCUGAAGGUAGACAAAGAACUGGUAGCGGUGUAGACCAGUUUCUGGCGGUGGGGUAGGCGGCGAGUAGUCUGUAGGAGAAAGGACAAGAGACAUGGAUGGGUUCACCACCAUGCUUGCAGCAUCUCCUGGCAGCUCUUAAAAAUAGCACCUUUGUUUUUCCAUCCCUGGUGACCUUCCUAGGGUCAUUCAAAUGAAGUCACACCCACUGCGCCCCUCCCUCCCCCGUUGGGACGUGGUGGGAUCUCACUUUAUUUUGGUGUUUCAUUUAAGGUGUAUGUUAGGGAUGAGUAGGGGUGUUGUUAUUGGGAGUGGGGCUCCAGGUUGGCAUAAAGGGUUGAGGCUCCCAGGCUCUUCUGGACCGGUAGAUGGGUGUUGGUGGUGUCCUGUUUUGGUUUUAGUCUAUCCAGAUGAAUUUUUUUGCCUCGAGAGAAAACCCAUCUUUCCCUAUGAGUGCGUUUGGCAGACGGUUUUUAUUAUUAUUUUUCUCAGCAUUUCCUUAUGAAGUCGAUCCCUAAAGAGGCCAGUUUCUUGGCUGGUUUGGGAGGAUCUGGAAGUGGUUACCAGGGUGGGUGGGACUGGGUUCAAAAGGUUUGAUGGAAGGCACUUGUAGAAGCUGGGAAUCUCAGGGCACGGAGGAGAAGGCUCCCUCCCUCUCCCUCUCUCUCUUGGAGGCUGGCUGCUUUGGAGGGUAAGGUCACAGGGUUAAGACAGCCAUCCUCCUUGCCCCGUGCCUAUGCCGAGACUAGGGACUUGGUUGGCCUGGCCUAGGUCUUCUAGGAUGGAACUCCUUCCAGUGUUGCUUUGCCUCUUCCCACAGUUCUCUCUCCACUUCCCUUCUCAAGGAGGAUAUGCAAGCUGGAGCCAAGAGUCUUCUUGGGUUGUGGGGGUGUGGUGGGGUGGGGAGUAAGGGAAGGUGGUCAGGGGAGGGAAGGGAUGCUUGCAAGAAGGAUGAGAGUGGGUGGGAAUGCUGGCUGAUCAUGGCUCUCCUUCUCUUUUCCUCUCUUAACCAUGAAACAGAAGAAGGAAUGACCGUUUGGCACUGUUGGAAGUGUUUCUCAUAGAGUGCUUCCAGCCACUGGGCCACCAGCAUACUGAGAGCCAGGGGAUUUCCUGACGGUUCAUCUUUCCCAUCACAGAUCAGAUAGUGUGUGUGUGUGUGUGUGUGUGUGUGUGUGUGUAUGUGUGUGUGUGUAUGUGUGUACUGAGGGAAAGGAAAAGAGUGUGCCAAGAGCCAUGUGCAUUUUUGUGUGGCUCAGAGUCUACAAUGAAGUAGGUGACAGCAUGCCAAUGUUCUGGGGUUAUUUUGGAGCUUCUGAAUUUAGGUAAAUUGGGGAUUCUCUCAAACAUUUCUAGGGCUAAGAAAGACUUCUGAGCAUGGGGUGUAAAGAGACUGUCCCUUCUUAUAAAUGGGUGUGUGGAAGGCAGAUGAAUCUGGUGGCUUCUGGCCAGGCUGGUGGGCUCGGGAUAUAUUUCUCAUGGCCAAAGACAGGUGGCCAGAAUUCUCCAUGGACAAAACUGAAAUUAGAAUUAAGGAUUUAAUCUCAGGGGACAUGGGGAGUUUACCCAUCUGACUAGGGGUUUCCUGAAGACCCCCCACACACACACACAAUUCAAAACCUCCAGAAAUGGAGACUUGGGAGUGGGGAUUGAGUACCCCACAUGUUGGCUAGGUAUACAAUGGACAAUUUCCUUCCACCCAGGUUUGGUUUUUUUUGUUUUUUGUUUUUUGUUUUUUGUUUUUGUUUUUGUUUUUUGUUUUCUGUUUUUUUUUUGAGAAAACUGAAAUUGAAAAAUAAAACUGGGCCUAUAGGAAAUGGAGCUGGGAUGGGCCUGCCAGAUGCCAGCCUUGCUGCUCCCCAGAUUGUGGGGGACCAUUUGUAUUCAGCCUUUUGUCUGUGGACAACUCACCACCUGAUCCCCCAGGGCACACCCUGGGGGUGAGACCUCAGAGGGAAGGGGACUGGGGUGUAGGGGUCUGGGGGAUUUGGUCAUGAGCGCCCUACUAGCCAGCUAGACCCUUGGCUGGCCUCUUCCUUUCUCGGUUACAUGAUAAGCCGAAUCCCUCUUUCCACCCCUAAUCCCCACUUCAGCUUCUCUAGAACUAGAGGGGGGGGGUUGGGGGUGGCAGGAGAUGUGGCUCAGUUGGUAGACCACUUGCCUAGCAUGCUUGAAGUCCUGAGUUCCAUCACCUGCUUGGCAUGAACCAAGCAUGAUGGUGUAUGCCUGUAAUUCCAGAACCUAGAAGACAGAGGCAGGAGGAGGAGCAUUCUCACACUAGGUCAAAUUUGAGGCCAGCUUGGAAUACCUGAGACCCUGAGUUU
rnacentral:lncRNA from 1 species